rfam:Brachypodium distachyon strain Bd21 chromosome 3, whole genome shotgun sequence.
UUGAUACUCCCUCCGAUCCAUAUUAAUUGUCAAAAUAUUACAUGUAUCUAGGUGCAUUUUAGGCAUAAAUACAUCCACAUUUGGACAGAUUUGAGACAAUUAAUAUGAAUCGGAGGAAGUAUGUU